rnacentral:lncRNA from 1 species
CUCUAAUAUGGCUGUUUGCUGAGUAUGAAUUUGCAUUACCAUGUUACAUCAUUUAUACAUCCAACAUGCACGUAUUUGGUUAUGAUGUAAUUUUUGUGGGUUCGGUUGGAUUUUGUAUUUUCGAUACAUUUUACAUAUAACUUAUUUGUCGAGUUAAUUUUCAAUUUCAAUGGAUAAAUUAUUAUGACGUCGUCACAACAUAUGUCUCAAAUAGCCUUUCAAGACCGUCAUAAUCAUAAUUAUUUGACCUAGCAUUGUGAUGUUUUUUU